CACUAAACACAUUACACAUACGCAUGCGCGCCACAAAGGGUGAGGUCCACCCCCACUAAAACAUAUGAUAUCCAUUCAUAGAAAACCCCAGAUGUAUAAAUGGAAAUCGUAAUCGUAGAGCACACAAUCAAAGAGAUGGCAGCCGAAUUUUCCAUCCUCUAUGUGACCUUUCCAAACAUGGAAAUGGGCAGGAAAAUCGCUCAUGAACUUUUAGAAAAGCGAUUGGCUUCUUUCAUCAAUCUGAUCCCUUCGGUGAUGACCAUGUAUCAUGAAGCGGAAAAUGUGGCUGCAACCAAAAUCAAAACCACCAAAAACAAACAAACAGAACAAAUCGAUGCAGAGAUUCUGAUGAUGGCCAAGAUUCGUUCGACGUUGGCACCGAAAAUCCUAGAUUUGAUGGAUCGAUUGCAUCCAUAUGACCUACCCGAAAUGUAUACCGUACGAGUAGGUAUCAUUAUCAUCAUCAUUCAAUAUAUAGUGCACUAAUACUACUCACACCAUUCAUCAUCAUAUGUCUCGUAGAUCGAUCAAAUGAAUGGCACAUUACGGGACUAUUUGGAUGCCAAUUUGGCCAGAAACAUUUAACCAGUGACCAAUUAUUAUUGUCCAAUGUACACAUUAAACGUUCAUAGUGUUGUUCA